UUUUCAUGUCUUUUUUCAACA
rnacentral:piRNA from 1 species